GGCAACCCAUUCCUGCAAUAUAUUUCUGUAGAGAUGAAGUAGGGCGGCGUAAAACCCUAAACCCAUCGCAGGACAAUUUUGCCCUUCAUAGAGCCUUUGAAUCUCACAAUAAAGAUCGGCCGUUUGCGUUAUAUUAUAGGGGGGGGUGGAACAGUCGAAAAAGGGUUUUCUUCAUGUCCAUGCUUGAUUACCCGCCCGCUUCCAGGAUUCUACCAUCGGUGGAUCGCGCGCGGCUCUUCGUCCCCAUCCGUCGGAAACCAUCGCUCCUGGGGCUCUCUCUCUCUCUCUCUCUCGGGCUUCGAUGCGUGACGGCAGGAGCAGCUGGUUAACUGGUUCGGAAACCCGCUCCUGGUUCCUUCAUCGAGGGUUUAGGGAUUAGCUUCGGAACCCAAAGAAUUCGCUUUGAAUUUGGUUGUAGGGUUGCGAUGAAUUCAGAGGGGACAUUUGGCCUUCAAAAUGCGUCCUUGACAUCAAAAUAAGCAUCGCAUACACAUGAUAGAUAGAAGGUAGGAAAGGCUAAGUACUGCUUAUGAUGAAAAGAAUGCCUCUUUGACAUCGCAAGUGGGUGGGUGUGGGGGCACCGCCGGCUUGUUGAUGAUGAUGAUGAAUGAUGAUUUGGUUUAGAAGAGGUUUAUGCAUGAAGCAAUGAUGGGAAUCGAGUGUCCCCAACUAAUUUGAUCUCAUCUGCUUCUGCCAUUUAGCUGUGAUGGAAGGUCUCAACACAGUUCCGUACAUACGGUAUGGUACGAGCUGUAUUUAUCGGUCCGGCAGUUUAUCGAUAUACAUAACAUGGUUUGUGAAA